GGUUAAGCGACUAAGCGUACACGGUGGAUGCCCUGGUAGUCAGAGGCGAUGAAGGACGUGCUAAUCUGCGAUAAGCGUCGGUAAGGUGAUAUGAACCGUUAUAACCGGCGAUUUCCGAAUGGGGAAACCCAGUGUGUUUCGACACACUAUCAUUAACUGAAUCCAUAGGUUAAUGAGGCGAACCGGGGGAACUGAAACAUCUAAGUACCCC
rnacentral:rRNA from 1 species